rnacentral:misc_RNA from 1 species
GUAGGGGUGGUAACUUCAACUGGAG